GUCUGGUGCCAGCAGCCGCGGUAAUUCCAGCUCCAAUAGCGUACGUUAAAGUUGCUGCAGUUAAAAAGCUCGUAGUUGAACGUUCGGGUUCCGCGGGACGGGGCCGCCCCGCGAGGGACGGCGCCGCCCCGGGGCUCGUGAUAUCUCAUCUCGCCGCCCGUCGCGAGGCGGACGGAGGGAUGGAUGAGGUUACCUGGAAAAAUCGGGGCGAUCUAGGCGGGCGAACCUCGCCAACGAACGAUCGGACAUGGGAUAACGGAAGAGGGCGUCGGCUCGACUUCGUCGGUUCCUCGGGCCGAGGCACGUACGGUGAAUAGGGACGGUCGGGGCCGCCCGUACCGGGUCGUGAGAGGUGAAAUUCUAGGAUCGACCCGAGACGAACCGCCGCGAAAGCAUUCGGCAAGG
rnacentral:rRNA from 1 species